rnacentral:lncRNA from 1 species
CCCGAACUAAUGAAAGAUGGUUCGAAUCUCAAAAUUCAUACUGUUAUAGCGUACAUAAUUAGAAAAUCCAAGGUAUAUUACACCAACAAAAGUGCUCUUCCCCUAAUAAUUUUUAGAUUUUCUUAUGAUUCAUACUAAUGCAAAGAGGAGGGUUCCCAGCUUCUUUUACCUUACUUUUACUCAUUAGGAUUCCCAGCUCAUUAGGAUUCCCAGCCUACUUGAUAGAGUACAUAUAUUGAAAUACAUCAGUUGCAGUUGACUAAGGCUAUUUACAAAUGAUAAAUCUCUUUAGUUCAGACAAACUAAUUUGAAUGCAUAAUACGUAAAUAAUUUAGUCCAUAUCUUUCAUUGGUAUGGUUGUACAUGUCCUGUAAUAAAGAUGACUUUUUCACUUUAAGUAAGAGCUAACACAAUUCACUUAUUUCAAAGCUGGAAAACUACCCCACAAUGGAACCAAAAAUAUAACAUUAUCAGAUAUAGUGGUGGUCGGAAGAAAUGACUUUUAAGAGUGAACAAUAACUUAUGGAAUAUGUACAAACUUCUAGGGCUUCCAUUGUUGUCAACACCCAUAUGAAAUUACUCCAAUGUAUUAGUCUUCGGUGUAUAAAAUCACUCACCAUCAACCCAAAAGAAAAAACCAUCCCAAGAAAUUCAAUUUCAACUAUAACUAAAAUGGGGAAAAACAUAUCAUUAGAUUAAGGGCAUAACCUGGUCCAAAUGAGACCAAUAUCAUCAAAAACAAUUAAAAAAAGAACCAAAAAGAGACCAACUUAUCAACUUUAUUUGAGAUUGCAAUGGAAAGGUAUAACAAAAUGAAAGGAAAAAGAUUUCUAAGACACUCAAUGUACCGGUCCUUAUGCCUAUGCAAGGGCAUUCCUCAGGGCACUUGACAUCUUCGGUUUUAUUUGCUGAAUCAAGUUCUAAUAAUAAUGAAAUGAGAAACUACAUAGCGAAAAUGCUAACACAAACUACUAAACCAAGUGAUAUACAUGCUUUUUCAUUGCGCAGGCUAGGAAAGAGAGACCCAUUAAAUCUCAAACUACAAGACCUCAUAUAAGUGUUGCGCCGUGUUUUAAGUUAUAAAUGUAAUAAAAGUAUAUACCUUGAGUCCUGAAAAUAAGUUUCUUAUCACGCAAGCUGGUAAAAGAAACCCUUAAAAUUUCAAACUACAAGGCCCAAUGUAAGUAUGCACCGUCUUUUUAGUUUUAAAUGUCACAAAAGUACAUACCUGAGCUCCUGAAUUUGAGCUGAACGCCAGUAGCCAAACAAAAUACAAUAUAAUUUCCUGCAACCAUGAGAUUAAAGGUACCUGUGUUGAAAUCCUUCUAAUUUGUUGAUUCAGAAUGAUACUGAGCAAGUACAUAUCUUCAUGGACUUUCCUGUCCAACAGGGAUUAUUUCACAAGUUAAUAAAGGACGCGAGUAACUAAAUCAAAUGAAAUGUAAUUUUCAUCUAUCGUGAAAGCAGCACAUAAUCAUGAGUAGAGAAACCUAACAUAAACUGAAGUCCAGAUUCACCUCUUGCAAACAUAUCAUCAAACACCUCGGAUGCAUAGUCCACUUCAAAUAAGUUGUUGGUAACAAAAUUCAUCAAAAUGAUAUAAUGCAUGUAAAAAUCAGGAACAAAUACUAACAUGCAUGUAAAAAAUCUAACAAUUAUUAAAAAAAAAAGAAUAGGGAACUAACAUUCAUAUACACACGGUACAAAUAAAGAAAUUGCAAUAACAAAGAAAAGAUUACACAAAAUAACUCCGAAAACAGAGAACUCACACCAACAAAAUAGACAAACUCUGAGAAAGAGAAGACUAAGAAACACAUGAACUAUACUACAAUGACAAGCCAAGCACAUAUACAUCAGCAUUUCCGUUCAAAACAAAAAAAAUGAGCAAAAGAAAAGAGGGAAAAGAAUUAAUACAACUGGUAAAAGAGGGAGGAACAGAAAAAUUAAAAGAAACCAAACGAUUAAAACACUAAAAGUAAACAAAAAGGAAAUAGAGAAGAAGAAGAACCCACCAUAAAAAGAGAAAAGAGCAAACAGAGAAAAGCUGAAGAAGAAGCACAAC